rnacentral:rRNA from 1 species
AGUGAACGCUGGCGGUAGGCCUAACACAUGCAAGUCGAACGGCAGCACAGUUACAUCUUGCUCUUACCGGUGGCGAGUCGCGGACGUGUUAGGUCUACAUCUGACUCUACUUUUUCGUUAGGGAUACCGAAGGGGAACUUACGCUACUAACGCAUACGACCUACGGGUGAAAGCAGGGGAUCUUCGGACCUUGCGCGUUUGAAUGAGCCGAUGUCGGAUUAGCUAGUUGGCGGGGUAAAGGACGACCAAGGCGACGAGCCGUAGCUGGUCUGAGAGGAUGAUCAGCCACACUGGAACUGAGACACGGUCCAGACUCCUACGGGAGGCAGCAGUGGGGAAUAUUGGACAAUGGGCGCAAGCCUGAUCCAGCCAUACCGCGUGGGUGAAGAAGGCCUUCGGGUUGUAAAGCCCUUUUGUUGGGAAAGGAAAGCAGCAGGUUAAUACCCCGCUGUUCUGACGGUACCCAAAGAAUAAGCACCGGCUAACUUCGUG